GUAGGUGGCAAGCGUUGUCCGGAAUUAUUGGGCGUAAAGCGCGCGCAGGCGGUUCUUUAAGUCUGAUGUGAAAGCCCACGGCUCAACCGUGGAGGGUCAUUGGAAACUGGAGAACUUGAGUACAGAAGAGGAAAGCGGAAUUCCACGUGUAGCGGUGAAAUGCGUAGAGAUGUGGAGGAACACCAGUGGCGAAGGCGGCUUUCUGGUCUGUAACUGACGCUGAGGCGCGAAAGCGUGGGGGAGCAAACAGGAUUAGAUACCCUGGUAGUCCACGCCGUAAACGAUGAGUGCUAAGUGUUAGGGGGUUCCCCGCCCCUUAGAGCUGCAGCUAACGCAUUAAGCACUCCGCCUGGGAGUACGGCCGCAAGGCUG
rnacentral:rRNA from 1 species